GACGAACGCUGGCGGCGUGCUUAACACAUGCAAGUCGAACGGAAAGGCCCUGCUUUUGUGGGGUGCUCGAGUGGCGAACGGGUGAGUAACACGUGAGUAACCUGCCCUUGACUUUGGGAUAACUUCAGGAAACUGGGGCUAAUACCGGAUAGGAGCUCCUGCUGCAUGGUGGGGGUUGGAAAGUUUCGGCGGUUGGGGAUGGACUCGCGGCUUAUCAGCUUGUUGGUGGGGUAGUGGCUUACCAAGGCUUUGACGGGUAGCCGGCCUGAGAGGGUGACCGGCCACAUUGGGACUGAGAUACGGCCCAGACUCCUACGGGAGGCAGCAGUGGGGAAUAUUGCACAUUGGGCGGAAGCCUGAUGCAGCAACGCCGCGUGCGGGAUGACGGCCUUCGGGUUAUAAACCGCUUUCGCCUGUGACGAAGCGUGAGUGACGGUAAUGGGUAAAGAAGCACCGGCUAACUACGUG
rnacentral:rRNA from 1 species